CAUGUACUCCCUCCGUUCGGAAUUACUUGUCUCGAAAAUGGAUGUAUCUAGAACUAAAAUACGUCUAGAUACAUCCAUUUCUGAGACAAGUAAUUCAGAACGAAGGGAGUACAUA
rnacentral:pre_miRNA from 1 species